rnacentral:rRNA from 1 species
GACGAACGCUGGCGGCGUGCUUAACACAUGCAAGUCGAACGGAAAGGCCCUGCUUUUGUGGGUUGCUCGAGUGGCGAACGGGUGAGUAACACGUGAGUAACCUGCCCUUGACUUUGGGAUAACUUCAGGAAACUGGGGCUAAUACCGGAUAGAAGCUCCUGCUGCAUGGUGGGGGUUGGAAAGUUUCGGCGGUUGGGGAUGGACUCGCGGCUUAUCAGCUUGUUGGUGGGGUAGUGGCUUACCAAGGCUUUGACGGGUAGCCGGCCUGAGAGGGUGACCGGCCACAUUGGGACUGAGAUACGGCCCAGACUCCUACGGGAGGCAGCAGUGGGGAAUAUUGCACAAUGGGCGGAAGCCUGAUGCAGCAACGCCGCGUGCGGGAUGACGGCCUUCGGGUUGUAAACCGCUUUCGCCUGUGACGAAGCGUGAGUGACGGUAAUGGGUAAAGAAGCACCGGCUAACUACGUG